ACUCCGUUAAAUAAAAAGCGCUUUCACAUUCACAUUCAAUUAUUGUUCCCAAACGCUCCCUUGACUUCCCCAAACCCCAAAUUCCCAAAUCCCAAAUCCAAAAACGCGUUUCCAUUAACCAACGAUUUCAAACAUGCAAAAUUAGGGUUCAUAGUAUUGCCUUUGAUUUAUUCAAAUCUAAUUCGAAAUGGUGGUUUCCGUAAGUCCUAACGGUGGUUCUACACCGCCACCGCCGCCGCAACAAGAACAAGCUAACAAGGAUAGAUUUACAAAACCUAUCUCCCUUGCUGGUCCUACCGACUCUGAUCGCCAUCGUAACACCGAAUUAGAGAAGUUUUUGGUUGAUUCCGGGCUUUAUGAGAGCAACGAAGAAGCUGCAAGUAGACAAGAGGUUCUUUGCCGCCUCGAUCAGAUCGUGAAAAGCUGGGUGAAGCAGUUGACACGCCAACGAGGCUACACAGAUCAGAUGGUUGAGGAUGCAAAUGCUGUCAUUUUCACUUUUGGCUCUUACCGACUAGGGGUUCACGGACCUGGAGCGGACAUAGACACUUUGUGCAUUGGUCCUUCCUAUGUAAAUCGAGAGCAAGACUUCUUCAUCAUUUUGCAUAACAUCCUGGCUGAAAUGGAAGAAGUUACCGAACUUCACCCAGUUCCUGAUGCACAUGUCCCAGUAAUGAAAUUCAAGUUCCAGGGAAUAUCUAUAGAUUUGCUGUAUGCAAGUAUAUCUAUUUUGGUUGUGCCAGAAGAUCUUGAUAUCUCAGAUGGUUCCAUUCUGUAUGAUGUUGAUGAGCAAACUGUUCGAAGUCUAAAUGGCUGCCGAGUGGCAGAUCAGAUUCUUAAACUGGUUCCAAAUGUUGAGCACUUCCGAACUACGCUGAGAUGUUUGAAGUUUUGGGCCAAAAGACGCGGUGUUUAUUCAAAUGUUACGGGAUUCCUUGGAGGUGUAAACUGGGCUAUUUUAGUUGCUCGAAUUUGCCAGCUUUACCCUAAUGCAAUCCCCAGUAUGUUGGUUUCUAGAUUCUUCAGGGUCUAUUCACAAUGGCGGUGGCCAAACCCUGUAAUGCUAUGCCCUAUAGAAGAGAAUGAACUGCAAUUACCUAUAUGGGAUCCUCGCAGAAACCAUAGGGACAGGUAUCAUAUUAUGCCAAUAAUUACUCCGGCAUACCCUUGCAUGAAUUCCAGCUACAAUGUCUCAACAAGCACUCUUCGUGUUAUGAUGGAACAGUUCUGCUGUGGCAACAAGAUUUGUGACGAAAUUGAGCUUAACAAAUCACAGUGGAGUGCACUUUUUCAGCCUUAUGUCUUUUUUGAGGCAUAUAAAAACUAUUUGCAAGUUGACAUAGUUGCAUUAGAUGCUGAUGAUUUACUUUUGUGGAGAGGUUGGGUAGAAUCCCGUCUGAGACAGCUAACCUUGAAGAUAGAGCGAGAUACCCAUGGGAUGCUGCAGUGUCAUCCUUAUCCACAUGAGUAUGCAGACACGUCCAAGCCCUGUGCACAUUCUGCAUUUUUCAUGGGCUUGCAAAGAAAAGAGGGAGUAAGAGGUCAAGAAGGACAGCAAUUUGAUAUACGUGAAACGGUUGAUGAGUUCAGACAAGAAAUUAUUUCGUAUGGUUAUUGGAAGCCGGGGAUGGAAAUUUAUGUUUCUCAUGUUCGUCGAAAGCAGCUCCCUGCAUUUGUUUUUCCAGAUGGUUACAAACGCACUCGAAUGCCGAGGCAUAUAAACCAUGCAACUGAGAAAAUGGGUGAUGAUACCAGAAAGUGCUACUCUGGAUCUAGCUCUUCUGAAAGGUGCGUCAAGAGGAAGAAUAACUCUGAAAUGGUGGAUGUGAAGCCAGAUAAACCAGAGAAGCGGACAUCUGUUAGCCCACAGAGACUAGAGUGUGUUUCACCUGAAAGUUGUACUAGUAAAUCGGGUGGUACACCUCAAAUGAGUAUUGAGUGUAUUGAAGGGGUUAGGCAAGAUGGAUCAACAACGGAAGAUGUCGAUAGCAAUUGUAAAAUCAAGUCAUCCGAUGGACUCUUAGGAAGUGGUGCAAUUACUGAAGUAGGUGACAUGCAGAUAAAUGGAACAAGUUUUGUUGGCUCCACACAUGAUAAGCUCAAAUCAAAGGCUUUAGAAGUUCUGAAUGAGAAUGGAGUCAAUGGGGAUAAAGCUCGGGACCUGGCUUUUGUUUGCUUGGAAAGGGCAGAAACUACAUCUACAAAAAGCUUGGCAAAUUGGGAAGAGGGUGCUGUUGGAAUGGAUCAACAACUGGACAAAGCUUGUAAUUUCACCAGGGCUGAAUGUUCGGAUUAUGCACCAAGUGCCAGCACCCAGAACCUCAAUUGUGAGGUGAGUUUCUUUAUUUGAGGACUUUUGGAUUAGGAACUGUUGUGGAUGGCAGUGAAAAAAAACUGGGAAGUCUGAGAGAUAGUGAAGGUCAGGGACCUUUGCAGGGUGAUGUUUGUGUGGCUGAUCCUGAUAAGUUCUGAAUAGACAGAUGUCAGACUCAGGAGUGUAUAAAUUGAAGAUGGGACUAGGUCAGAAUUUUUUGUAGAAGCUUGUGAAAGGCAUGCCUUUGAAUUCUUUUAAGUGUAAAAAUACUGUUUCUUUUGGUUUUGGCUUUGUAGGAGGAUGAGUUUGGAGUGCAUCACAUGGAGGUGAAUCAUGGAAGUUGCUGGGAGCUGGUAAACCUUAUUCUAUAUUGAGGCUGUUGCUGUGGUAGGUCAUGGGAAUGUGUAAAGAAGCCAUAUUUGAACAGUCAGGAUGGAAGCUAAUCAGAUUAAGGUUUUGGGGAGUGUUGCAAUGGUCAUUUGUGUACAUUGAUGAACAGCAUGAUGGAGAUGCUUGAAAGUGCGGUCACAUCCUGUUGUGUGUAAAACAUGGGCUCAAUCCAUCUUCAGAACCGUGAAUCAUCUCAUAAAACUUAACAUAUUUAUGUACCAAGGAGUGGGAGAACUUUGUUGUUUUCUUGUGAUGUGGUUGAUAUCAUGUAAUGAAAAUGUAAUCAAAUAGUCUAUUAUGCCAAGUGGUUCAGUAGAGAAAAUGUUGAAACAUAUUUUUGGCGGCAUUCAAUAUGGAAGUCUGUUUUUUUUUUUUUGAAUGGCAUUCAAUAUGGAAGUCUAGAUGGUAGGAGAAAUCAAUCUGUGCAAGGGUUUUGCUGGUCUUUCGA